UGGGGGCAGAGGCAGUUAAUGGGGAGUUGGGUCAAAUUUCUGGGCAUCCAGGGAGAGAGGCCCUAGAAAGAGGGGCAGAGGGCCAGGGACGGAUGCUGUCAGCACUGAGGGGCACCUGCUUCUGGAAAGCCCGCUGCUGCCUUCACCCUGCCUCUCCUUGGCUCAGCUCAUUUCUCAGGCCCUCCCUCUGACUCUCUUGUCCUCACCUAAUUUCCUGGAAGCCCGUGUUGAGACCUCAGCACUAACAGGUGAGCAACUGUGCUUGGUGGCCCCAAAGAACCACCACUUACAUGGUCCAGACUCUCGCCCCAUUCUCCUCUUGCCACACCAAGCUGGGAUUCCCUCUCUGUCAGUGUGGAUUCUGCAUGUGUGCGCCUGGGUGGAUGGGGCUAUACUGCCCAGAAGGGAAGUGUUAAUACCUUGGACAGGGAUUCCCACCCAUGGGAGGGGAUCAGAUCUGAUGGGGGAGGGCACUGUCAUUUGCAAGGGCAUAUUCUAAAAUUACGACUGCUGGGUUUUUGUUUUUUUUUUUUUUUUUUUUUUUGUCACAACAUUUACCUGGAAUUUUCUAAUGACAUUUAAUGUUUACAAAAGGGUUGCAUGAACUAGGGAGGGUUGAAAUUGAUACUGAAAUGGGGAGACAAUGAAUCUGAAGUUCCUUCUGCAGAAACCUCUCCAGUGGGACAAAUGGCGGCAAACUGGCAUCCCCGGGUCCCUGUAGGGGAGGGAGUGUGGGGGUGUGUGUGUCUCUCCCCUUUAUUCUUGGCCAGUCACUGCUCGUCUAUCUUCUUUUGAGGACAAGUGGGGGCAGGGGAAGGGAGCCCUCUGUCCAGUCAUUCCUCAAUCUUGGAGACCAGAGGUCUGGACUAAUGUUGGAACUUUCCCAAUUGGCUGCUUACAUACUUAAAGUAUUGAGCAUAGACUAGGCUUGAGUUACUUUUGAGGCUCUGACCUUGACAACGGAGCCCAGAGGCUUUUCUGGCUGUGAGCUCGAUGUACUGGGAUUAGCUAGCUUUGGUGGAAAGGUAAAGGGUCUGAGCAAAAGGGAUACAGAGGCUGGGGUCCUGGCUUCUAAAUGGCCUACUGAGGGACGUUAGGAAGAUUUCUUAACCCUUCUGUGGCAUGGUUUCCACGGUGACUAGAAGGGAGAAAGGGUGAUUUCAUUGAGGCCUCUUUAGAGUUGAUUAACGCCUAGGACCACUAAACUGCCUAAGACUUGGGAAAGAGCGGCCCAGGGCUGGGUAGGGCCUGCCUGUGGCCCCCAUUCCCUCUAAUUGGGUCCAAGGAGCUCCAGCCAGGCUCUUCCCAGGCUGGCCUGCACUCAGUCUCCUGGGGCAAGCCUGGGGGAAGCAGGCUGCUGGAGGCCAGGGGUCAAUUCUCCACAGAUGCUGCUUGGCCCGGGGGGGGGGGGGGGGGGGGGGGGGGGGGUGGAGAGCUGGGGGCUGGGGAGCCCUUGGAGCCUGCGCUGCUCCCUGGCUCUGCAUCCUAGCCCUUGAGCCGGGAGGAGGGAGGGUGACUCCAGUAUACUUUACAGAUCACGACCGCCUUAAACAAAAGAUGCCCACCACCACCCACCCAGCCAGGCAAUUCUACCAAACACAAACGGCUGCCCAGCCUUGCCACCUCCUCGGCAAAUGGCCCAGCUGGACUGUCAGGCCAGGAGGUCAGGUGGUCCCCACCAGCCUAGGGGCUGGCCCUUAGCAGCUCCCCCUCCCCUGAAGGCACAGGGGCCCAUUUCCUGCCACCAGCCCACACAGGACGCCUAUCUUAACGGCUCUGGGAAUAGGAGCGGACAUGCAGGAAGAAGCCGGCCAUGUGAACACAGACGCAGAGAUCCGAGUGGUGUAUUUACAAGCCAACAAAUGGCAAGCAUCGCCAGGAGCCACCAGAAGCUGGAGGAAGCAAAGAAGGAGACCCCCGCCUCCCGCCCCCCAGAGCCUUCAGAGGGCUUCUAACUUCCAGCUGUGGUUUGUGUUGUUGGCUCAGCCAAGAUCCUCCUUUGUCCUGUGCUGCCAGGAUUUUCCUGAAGUUUCUCCAGGUUGGCCCCAAAUCUCACUGCUUGGAGAAGCUGAAUGUCAACUUUGGAUCCAGAAUUUCCAUUGCACCUUCCCUCCUCUGAAGCAUUUGUGAAAAUGUUAAUUAAUCGUGGUUCAAACAGAGACCUCUGUGCCAACUCUGCCACCAUUCAGACAAGUGUUUCCGUUCUGUCUUAAGUCAGUUGGUUUAUGUUUGUAUUUGGCUCCAUCCAUUCCAAAAGGAAUUUGAGGAAUUCAAAACCCGCCUACACCAGAGGCCAGGUAAUGAUACCGCCUGAAGCAAUCUUCCGCCCCAGAGUGACCUGGCUUGUUCCUAUAUCUGAGCGUUACAUUUGCUUUUAGAUUUCCUGGCAUCCACGACAAAAUGGGAAGCCAGAUGGGGUAUGUAGUACUUAUUGCCUGAGUCUUCUCAAUGAGUGAGUAUUUUCUGCCGGCAUGUAAUGUGGAGAAGAAUCUCUUAUGUGGAUUCUUAUAUGAGGGGCCUCUAUUGACAAAAUGGAAGAGUUGGGAUUUUGCAGAGAAGGUGAAGCUUUUCCUAUAGCUUUUCUAUUGACUCUUUUUUUUUAAUAAAAAAAUUUUUUUAAUGUUUAUUCAUUUUUGAGAGACAGAGAGAGACAGAGCAUGAGCAGGGAAGGGGCAGAGAGAGAGGA